CGCGUGCCGCUGAGCCCCGUGGCCUUUCGGGUAGCGGGUAGUGCGUGUUGCCUGCGCCUCUGCUCCUGGCCGCGACGAAGUCCGUGGGGAGGGGACUAGAAAGAGCAUCGAGCUGGGAGGGGAUGGUCCAGAGAAGCUGCCACUGCCACCUUGUAUGCCAUGUUCUCACUCUCGCAAACAUGAGAUUUUACUUUUGGCUUCAAAAGGAGUCCAGAAGUAAACUGACAGCCUAAAAUAAUUCAGAUUUAUCAGCAAGGCUACUUUGAGAAGCAGUACAAACAAGUUCAAUGAGGAAAUGCCUAAGAGUUCCUCUUGGAUGGAAAAGCACAUGCAAACAGUGUAUAAAUGAUUACUGAGACAUGCAGAACUAAUCAUAAAUAAGCUAUACAGCAUUUUUAUUGAAAAGAGAGAGAAAGGGAGAGAAACUUGAUGCAAGAGAGAAGUAUUGAUUGGCUGCCUCCCACACACGCCUAUACUGGGGAUUGUAGCAGCCCAGACUGGGGAUCGCAGGCACCCGCACCUAGACCGGUUGAAUCUGCAGCCUAGGUACGUGCCCUGACCGGGAAUUAAACCUGCAACCUUCUGGUUAAAGGAGGACACUCCAACCAACUGAACCCCACUGGCCAGGGCUAUCCAGAUAUUUUAAAUGAAGAAAGUACAGUUUGUUCAGAGUAAAAUGUGAUCCAAUGGACUAAAUAAAAACAAUUUUGCUUGGCCUAAUUAAAAUCUGUAUUUGAA